AGUGACAGAUUGAGUGGGGGGAAACGUUAGCUUAUUUCAAGUUUUAUUUUAUCGAAACUUUUCAAUGUCUUGAAUUUUUUCAAAAUCUAGUCUCUUUUGUACAUCAUUUUGUUUUUGGUUGUUUGUUCUUUGUUUUAAUUGAAAAUUAAACAUUUUCUAAGUUAGGAAUUAGUUUGGGAUUUGUUUUCAGCUAUGCCACCAACAAGCUUAUUUACAAGCUUUCUUACAAGAAAGAGCUUACUUAUCUGUUCACAGGUAAUUUAGCAGUUAGUUAAAUCUAAAUCUGGAUACAUCCUAGCAAAAGGGAAAGCACUUAGAAUCUUACCUGGCAAUGUAAUUUUUCACUAACAGUGAUCUUUUAUUGAUUUUUAAGUUGUAUGGCUUCCCCAAAAUUUUGAAUGCAGUUAAGGUGCAUAAAUUAUUAGUUCUCCGUUGUGAUGUGCAGUUAAAGUAUUUUGGGGCUUCCAAAGUCAAAGUGCCUGGAUUCAAAUCCUGCCUUCACCACUUUCUAACUCUGUGCCUCAGUUUCCUCAUCUGUAAAAUACAAGUUGUUAGUAAUACUUACGUAACAGUCGUUCUGGGAGUUAAAUGAGAUUGAAAAACUGAAAGUACUUAGCCCAGUAUCAGGCAUAUAAGUGCUUAAUAAAUGUUAUUAUUAUUAUCAUUAUCCAAAGAUUCAUUAAUAGAGGGUACAUGGGGAGAAAAUUGUAAAGUGAGUUCAUCAGUAUGACCUCUUGGGAUUCAAUAAGUAAUAUUAAGAGUAAUGAUAUUGUUAAUACAUAUUGUUGAAAUUUAGUGCCCCUUCAGUUGGUAGACAGAGUGUUAAACUUGUUAGGCUGCUUGACAAGCAGAUUUAGAAGAAAAUGCCGUGUAAGUAUUCUAUAUCUGAAAAUAAAUGUUGAUGUCCAGGUUAGCAAGAUGAACAAAGAUGCGCAGAUGAGAGCAGCAAUUAACCAAAAGUUGAUAGAAACUGGAGAGCGAGAACGCCUCAAAGAAUUGCUGAGAGCAAAAUUAAUUGAAUGUGGCUGGAAGGAUCAAUUGAAAGCACACUGUAAAGAGGUAAUUAAAGAAAAAGGACUAGAACACGUUACUGUUGAUGACUUGGUGGCUGAAAUCACUCCAAAAGGCAGAGCCCUGGUACCUGACAGUGUAAAGAAGGAGCUUCUACAAAGAAUAAGAACAUUCCUUGCUCAGCAUGCCAGCCUCUAAGAUUGAAUUAGAUUGUAUUGUUUUGUGGUUUUAUUUCUGAAAGUGAAACUUGCCAUAAAUUAGAAAUCACUAAUUUCCCAAAAUAAAAUCCUUUUUUGUAUGAUGGUAUACAGUUUUCAGUAAUGAUGUAUACAUUGUAUUGAUUUUUUUCCCUAAAUGUGUUAUUUUAAUAAAUAUCUCAUGAAUGAGUUUGAAGUUGCUUGGAUUUUGGAAUAAACAGGAUUUUGUCUUUAUUAUUAAUUCACCAGAUUAGUUGACAGAAGUCAACAAUUUUCUAGAGUUUAAGUAUAUAUUUAGUAUCUAUAAGUCUCUGUUAAAAACUGAGGAGACCACAAAGAAAUAAGCCUUUUCUGAUUGUCUGGAUAUGGUUUAUUUCUCCUUUGAAUUCCCAUAAUUCUAUAACAUUUUAAUGCCCCAUCUUGUACUACAGUCAUUUGUCUUAUUUCUUAUUUUGUUAGAAACUCUGAGGGUUAGAACUGGGUCUUACUCCUCUUAUGUGCCUUUCAUCAUGACUCAAAGAAUUUACCAUCUAGUAGAAGAGUGAACAUUUGCACAUUGGCUCCACACCAGGCUCCUCCCAUGUAUUCUACUCUGAAGUGAACUUUGAAGGCAGAAUCUUUCCGUUGCAUCCCCACAUACUAUGGUCAAGAAAGAACUGAGUGGGAAAUAACAUCUACCCAUUAGUGUUAUUCUGACAUCAAGAUUGUCAAAUCCAAUGGACUCCUGACUAUUCUUACGUGACCUCUGCUGGAAAAUGAGAAUGUCACCGUGCUGACACUUGGAACUUUCUUCCCACUCUUUGCAUUGUUUCUUCCUGCCACUACAAGUUCCUUCUGUGUCUCGUGGAGUACCUUUUCUGUAUGGGACUUAAAUAAUGGUGUUUCUAGUGCUCCCUCCUGGGCCUUCCUCCUGACUAACUGGAUAUACUUUUCCUGGAUAAAUCCCAGGAGACUUGGGUCAGACCAUGGCUUCAAACACCAGCAGGUUGACAAAAGCUAAACUGCAUCUCCAAACCAGACUUCAAUCCAGCUGUUAUGGAUCUGCUCCCUUGGAUGUCCCACAAGCACUUCAACCUGAACAUAACUAAAAUAGUGAUUUUUUCCCCCCCAACAUCUGCCACUGUUGUAUUCCUUAUCAGUGAAUGGUAUCUGCUAGACAUGCAUACAGAUUACCUGAGAAGCUUGUUAAAAUGCUGAUUCUGAAGGUAAGUAAUAUGGCACAAGAUUCUGCAUUUCUGACAAGCUUCUAGUUGAUACAUUUACUGCUGGUUGAGGAUCCCUUUAAAUAUAGAAACACUAUAAAUUAUCGACUACCUGCCUUAACUGCCUUAGUCAAACCCAGAUUGUUGCAGUAAGCUCCUAAUAUUUCCUUACUCUAGUCCCAUACCUCCUCCAUUAUCUCUUCCAUACUAUUGCCUAAAUGGCCUUACUAAAAUUCAAAUCGGGUCAUUUUGUUCUCUACUUGAAGUUUCUCAAUGGCGCUUCCUAGUUCACAGAAUAAAAUUCAAACUUGACACUUAGGCCCUUCUUUAUCUGACAUUUACUUAUAUCUAGUUAGUUUGAAAGGCCCCAAAGUAUCAGAUUGUUUCAUCCCUAAGUACCUUUGAAACUCCAACCUAGAAAGCCCUUCACGCCAGUUUAUCUAAUUCCUAUUUAACCCUUCAAAGUUCAGCUCAAGUUGCUAAAACAUUCUGACACUCCCCUGUCUAGUUUAGAUUCCCCUCUUCUGUUUUUCAUUGAGAAGCACCUGUGCCUAAUUUCUGUAGCACAGUGGUUCUCAGUCGUGCAUCUCCUGGAGAGGAUAGGAAAUGACUUUUGACUUCGUAUUCCCAAUUCAUCAUCUAAUUGCUCAGCAUUCUCUGAGAAGUAACUAUAUUUGUGGAUGAACGGGUGAGAGUAUGCAUGAAUACACCAGUGAUAAACAUGGGAGCGCAAAAAAAGUAACAGUUCGAUGUAGUUGAGGGAAGGUUUUGCAUUAAUUUUUUUGCUCACUGUUAGACACAAUUUCAUCUUUCUGCUGAAUUUAAAUUUUAAAAGUAGUGCUUGUACCCUGGGCUUAAUUGUCUAAAGCUUUGAACCUGAGGCAGACACAAUCACAAAACCUACCCAAAAGAGUUUGUUUCAAUUCACCUAAUAUAAAGGAAUGAUAGUUAUCAUUGUGCUCAUUAUCAAAAAAAAAAAAACAAUUUUACAUGAUAGGCAAUGUUAGAAAUAGGUAGUUCUUGUUUCAUGGUACUGUAUAUGGAAGCAAACCAAAAAUUGCUUCUAGAGAUGAUAUUUUAAUACCUCAAAAGAAAAUAUUAGAAAAUGAAAUAUCGAGUUGCUAAUGAAACUAUUUUAAAAUGCAACAAAGACCAGAUGGAUUGACAGUACUUCAUAGCAAUUUAAAGUAAAGAACAUAGCUUUACCUUUAAGUUUUUUUGACAUCUUGGAAAUGUCUUGGAGUUUGCAUACAGAACCAUUAAUAUCUUUCAAAUAAACCACCUUUAUGAACAUAAUGACUCACAUCUUUGAUUUACAUGAAUUAGGAAUACAUUCUUUAAAAAUCAUGCACCCUUUCAUACUCAGUGUUGAAAAUUAAAUAGAUUACUGUUACAAGACUGUGCUGGGUGAGUAAAAUACUAAUUAGGAUUACUGUAAGCUUCUCUUGUAUAGGAUUAAAGAAGAUCCAACUAAAUCAUUUAUGUAAUCACUUUGCUUUGGCAUUGCAAGUGUAUCAUUUUGUUGAGCAGUGCCAAGCCAGGGCCUGGGUGAUGAUGGAGAUUGGUAAUUGGAUAUGGAACUUUUCACAACUUGAUAAAAGUUUCCAUCCAACUCAAGAGAAUUGUGACAGCUGCCUAGUAGUUAAUGUUGGAAAUGAUCCCGUGUGUGUGUGUGCAUGUGUGUGUUUUCACCCUUCUUGAAAAUGGCUAUCUCGUAUUACUCAGUGACUUCAUAAAACCCCUUAUAUUUACCAUUAGAAUCCACACAAAAGUCAUUGGAUGAAUCUACCAAGAAAACCAACAGAGACAAAUCAGACAAUUCUGGUUCUAGUCUCAUCUGUGAUACGGAAUUAACCAGAUGGCUCUAAAAUAAUACCGAAAAUCACAGAGACAAUACCUAAAUACGGCAGCAUCAAUGGAGCAACAAGGCUGACUAUCAA